rnacentral:rRNA from 1 species
GAACGCUGGGGGAAUAAGGAGAGGGCAAGUCUGGUGUCAGCCGCCGCGGUAAUACCAGCUCUCCGAGUGGUGUGGAUGUUUAUUGGGCCUAAAGCAUCCGUAGCUGGCUAGGUCAGUCCCUUGUUAAAUCCACCGAAUUAAUCGUUGGAUUGCGGGGGAUACUGCUUGGC